GACGGUGAACCCGAUAAAGUCAAUCCGUGCUUUAUUAUUAAUAGCACAAAUGCCCGUGCGUUGCAACGGGAGAAAAACUUAACGUGAUCCUGGUGAACUUAACGGGAGAUAUCAUGCACAAAGCAAAAUUAAUGAGUAGAGGAAGCCCCGAGGCGGAGCUAGACGUGGCUACCAUGUUUGUGCUGCAGGAACACACCACAUGUAGUACUCCAACAUCAUCUGUUCACCGCCCCUCCAUAGUUUUGUCCCUUCAGGAAGCCGGUGCUCUUGGUAGAAAGAAGAAGUCCCGUGAAGACAGUCACCAUGUGGCUGCUCAUGUGACAGGGCAACACCUCUACACAUCGCCAUUGAAUCGGGACAUGCAUGUCCUCCUGCUUCAGGAAGAAUGCCUGCCAUUGUCCGGAGGCAACCAUCACGCUGUCUUUGACGUUGUACAAACAGAUAGAGUCCGAGGACCAGAGCAUGUUGGAACAGUGCUGAAGGCUGUGUCGUGGAAGUCCACGGGUCCACACCACACCCUGUUGGUAGCGAUUUGUGUUUGACGAAGAACACAAUAUAGCGCAAAGGCUAACAAAACAAGGGACAACUUCACAUUCUAUCAAGAGAACCUCGUUAUCAUUAACAGGAUCAGAAGGAAGAUUCAAACACCAAUGUCACAUCUUUACGGGAAAAAGCUCGUCGUGCCUGAACUUGUACCUCCACUUGCCGAAGCUGAUGACCCAGAGCCCUUGUCGCCGAGCUAGCUGUAAUUAUUUUCUAAAAUACAUCAGAGAACAUGUCAACUACAUCAGAGAACCUGGUAAUUAUUCUCUAAAAUACGAUAACUGUAUCGAAACAACCUCUUAGGCGGUAGUUACAUCAGAGAGCCAGUUUUUUCAUGUUUUGUCAGGGCAUGCUAGCAUCAGCUCAUGCACUUCCUAGCCGUAGGUCGCUGGAAUUCACUAUGGUGCUAGUAGAGCGUACAUUGGCUGGCCACGCACGUGCUGCCAUGGUGUGCUGAACUACUGAUAUCUUCCAAUCGUGCUGAACUACUGAUAUCAUUUUAUUAUUUUCUUUGAAAGGGUGGAUGCAUGCUAGUGUGCAGAUGGUUUUGCAUCCAAAAAUUAAUAAAAACAUAUGCUACAUUUUGAAGGGGAAAUGCAUCGUACAUGGUAUAGUUACCAUUUACUACCUAAUCAGCCGAGUUAUCAAUAAUCAUGCAUAACAAUAUUAUUUCAAUCAUCUUAAGGGGGUUGUUUCAAUCAUCUUAAGGGGUAUGUCAAAAUAGUACAGUGUAUAAUAAAUGGAAAAAGGAACUAAAUGCACCAUACAUAUGACUCACAAGGCUGCAUUGAGGUACUUUUCAAGUCAAUCGUGCAGGACGCACUAAACACAAUCAAAUUAUGGUUCAUAGAUGCACAUAAUAUAGCAUUGGACAUCAAAUAAAUCUGAGAAACGCGAAUAAAAAAUUACAACAAAAGCAGGUCGGUUGAGUAAUGAAUAAGCUGCAAAUAUCAUGUUGAGAAGUGAAAUUGAGAUAUCACAUAUGCAAAUAAACAGCAGUAAAUAUGUACUGUUAAUGAAUUUCAAUAAACUAAUCAUUUGAACUUGUGGUGACUGGUGGGUCAUUGACAAAAAAAAGGGUAAAAGUACUUCCUUAGGGUAACUAAAGUGUGUCUGGCUCUGCUGGCCUUAGAAAAUGGUGGAAAAUGAUAGCAAAUUUAGUUCGUGUAGCACACCUAAGCUUCAUGGAUAACAAAUUGUUCAAGUAGCAGUCUUGCUAUCUGGUGGCAUAUAACUACCAAUCAUAAUCCACGAAGAAUUUCUGAAAUUUAGAUUAUUCUGAACAUUUUUAGAAACCCCAGAGACAUUCAGCAGGUAACAGAGGGCAUGCAUACUAUGUAAUCUAGGGACAUGUGUUAUCUGAAGUCUAAACAUUGCCUGAAAUGCUACGCAAAAUAAGUACAGCUUCAACAAAGAACUAACAAUGAAAUAAGAGAUUUCAUGCCUGGCCUCAAUCAGAACAGCCAACACCCUUUUCUGAAGUGCCAAUACCUCUCCUUUUGCCUAUUCCCUGCAUCAUAGAGCAUACAUAAUGAUAAGAAUAACAUUAGGCUGGAAACCAUUGACCCAUGUACAGAAGAGAACAUAGAGCUACAAAAGUAACACGAGACGCUUUAUAUGAUUAUAUCACAAACCAUCUAUGAAUCGAUCAACACAUCAUUCAAAUAUAAUAUUGAUGCAAUGCCAUGGAGCCCAUCUGGCAGGAGCAUGCUCCCUUGUGGAUACAAACAGACAUGAAUGACUGAAGGAGGGAUUUGAAAUUUCAGUAACUACAUUUUUUUUUUAGAAAAGGAGGAUGACCUCCGGCCUCUGCAUCUGGAAGAUGCACUACUAUGCAAGUACCUGCAUGAAUGCUGUAGCAAUCUGGUAGGACUCAUCUAGUAGGGAUAUCACAUACACUCUGAAUCUGCAGCUCCUCUUCUCCUGCGGUUGUCCGAUUUUUUUCCAAUAAGUAACAGAUGCGUGAACCAUGGUGGCAUUACUUGCUUAUCGGCACAUAUGAAUGAUGUAUGGGAAGAAACAAACUAUCACUGGGAAGCGGAUUCCUAUCAAAAUAGAGAUCGAUCUGACGGAGAUAUACAUACAGGCUACAAUAACCAACAUGAAGGCUGAGGCUGGACGUCGUCCUUACAACUUCCUUGCCCGAUGGCUCGCACAGGCCGUCGCCACCCAACACGGGAUGUCAGCCGACCAGUCCAGGAAGCGCCCCCCUGAACUUGACUCAGCCCGCUGUCAGCAAUUGGAUCUCAUGGGUGCGCUGCAGGCAAGGACGUUUGGUGUUCCUCCGCCUCCAUGGGAUCUUCCCCUCCCCUCCUCUCUCCCGAGCCGAUUUACGGGAGGAGUUAGACAGGCGGCGGCGCGCGGCGAUGUGGGGCAGCAGGAGGUGGUGGCGCGAUUGAGGCG
rnacentral:lncRNA from 1 species